UAUUUUUUGUAAUGGUAUUUCACAUAAAAACUCAAAGUCAGUUUGGAGAUACAUAGGUCCACCACCACCUUGCUACGUGACAAAUUUCCUUUGCGGUGGUCACAACUGGCAAUACAGUACAAUGAGAUAAUGCCAGCGAACCGGCUACUGCUGUUACGACAGGACGUCUGCAGGCCACAACGCCUCCCUUUUUCAGUGUGUUUAACAGCUAAUGACAACAUUUUAAAAUCACGUCUUGCGUUUUGUUUUGGAGCUCUACCCUCAUUCACCGGUGGGAAUCAUCCCAUAAGCGAGCAAACAAGACUCCCACGGGGGGUGUCGAGACCUAUCCGUUAAUGGUCCGCUGUGCAACAAAAAGGUACAUACCGAUUAGACGUUCACAUAAUACCAGCGCUCAAAGGGUUCAUUGGAUAUUGAUAAACCUCUCUAGCGUCUGUCGUUACUUACAUGAAGUCCAAUUAGAAUCUAAUUAUGCACCAUCCAGUGGGCAUGAUUACUGCACAGCGCUUUUCUAAACCUACAGGGGGCCCCUGUAGGUUUACCGCCCUGCCCCCAUCCCCCAACCGUCGCCAAACAUUGAUUUCUAAUCCCGGUCAACUCUUUGUUUUGCUAAAUGCUUGAUUAAGACAGAGAAUUGACUUGGAGCUACAUUAAGAAUGUAAGGAUAAGGGAAGUGGUUGUUACAAAUCACAUGUGGUGUAAUAAAGCAUUUACAGCUGGUGUAUAGGGAAAUUGAUGAAAAAGACACAUGUGUGAGCUAAUUAAAACUACUGCUCACGAAGCAGUGUCUUAAAAUUAUGUCAAACGUGUUAUUUCUUACAGAAAGUUGUCAACGGCAGUGUCUGCAUUUUUUUUUUCUUUAACACACAUUGUCGCUGAGAAGUGCUUCACUCCUGUGUUGCAUGAAGUUGAACAACUGCCAUUAAACUGCGUUUGCAACCCAGGACUCAAGAUUACACUCCUCGAUCAACAUAGCGUUAUUAAAACACUUUUUAUUGUUUUUAUUUUCUGGUAUUACAUUGUGGGGGCUUGCGGGGGAUGAGGGGGUGAUAUUUGUGUCUCUUCACGGUUUCAGUGAGAAUCGCGCAGCAAAGCUUGUUUAAAAAGGAUCAUUUGCAGAACUUGGGGCAAAAUAAAAUGAGGUCGUCCACAUGCAGUAUCCCAAUUUUCUGAAUUGAAUUAAGGAUUCAUGUGGACAAAACAGUGAACAAGGUCCAACAAUAUGUGCAGUGCCACGUUUCAUUUUAAUUGGGCUUUUAAGCUCAGUCGGAGUCUUUUUGAAAGAUUGGGUUUGCUAGUUCCUCUAGUUUGAAGGUGAACUUGACGUUUAAAGGAGCCCCCGCGGAUUCCCCUACCCCCCACCCACCCCAGUCUCCUCACACUCCAGAUGGGAUUCUCAUCAUCUUCGAUUCCUCAAACUCCAAAACACCCUCUGACACACCACAAUAGUUGAAUCAGCUCUCAGAAUGAUGUAGUGUUAUUCCAUAACUGUGUCAAUCAAAACUCAUCUUUUUUUUUUUACAAAGCCUGAUUUUCUAUUCAUUUAUUUAUUUUACUAUUCCAUUGGCUCUCAUCCCAUUCUGCAAGUGUAGAGACAAUGUGUAUUUCAUCUCAAGGAACUAUGAAAUGUCAGAUCAUCUAUCAUACGAACCUGGGUCGAAAGUGAGUUCCCAAGUCAUUUAUCUACAACCCAAAACUUACCUAAUUUUACAGCCUGCAGUAGGGAUGGUUUCUGACCAUUUUAACUUUUUUUCUCCCCAGAAUAAAACCAGGAACCAUAUCAAGAGAUCAGCUUUGAUAACUCAGACCUGCAUUUAUGGUCACCAACUAGAUUGAAAGUACAGUUCUUUGACCAUCAGGAUUGAACCAGGAACUUUGGGGCUGUUUACACACCUCUGGUUUCGAGUCAGUAUGGUCAACGGACUGGUCAGUUCAUUUCACUGGUUGGGUUUCUUUUAACUUCGAGCAUAUCAGAAUGCACCGCAACAAACGGUGUGACAUUGCGCCAUAACCAUCUAGAAGCAAUUAUUAGGUGGUUAAUUAGAGCAAAUGAAUGACAUGGAGGGGACAGGGGGUUGCGACUUUUGUUCUUUUACAAAUCCAUACGAAUCGCUAAAGGGGGAAAUAGAAUAACUUGAUUGACGAAAGCUGCGAAGUUGAAAUCGUCCGAAAUGUUCCAGGUGCUUUUGAUCAAAAUUUUGCGUUUGUUGUUUAGUAAUUGUAAAAUAGCAUUUCAUAAUUUAGCAAUUGCUUAAUUAGACCUGAGCAACAAAAA